CCCUUAGAUGUUCUGGGCUGCACACGCGCUACACUGGCAGGUUCAGCGAGCUUCAUGCCCUGAUCUGAAAGGAAUGGGAAAUCUUUUCAAAACCUGCCGUGCUUGGGAUAGAUGUUUGCAAUUAUUCAUCUUCAACGAGGAUUGCCUUGUAAGCGCACGUCAUCAGCGUGCAUUGAAUACGACCCUGUAUUCUGUACACACCGCCCGUCGCUCCUACCGAUUGAAGUUUUCGGUGAGUUGACAGGAGGAUUUUUUUGAAACUGGUUCGCCAGUGGAUUUUAGAUCCAAAUGCCAACGAAUCGAUGGCUUUAGAGGAAGGAGAAGUCGUAACA
rnacentral:rRNA from 1 species